rnacentral:rRNA from 1 species
GACGAACGCUGGCGGCGUGCUUAACACAUGCAAGUCGUACGGUAAGGCCCUUUCGGGGGUACACGAGUGGCGAACGGGUGAGUAACACGUGAGUAACCUGCCCACAACUUUGGGAUAACGCUAGGAAACUGGUGCUAAUACUGGAUAUGUGCUCCUGCUGCAUGGUGGGGGUUGGAAAGCUCCGGCGGUUGUGGAUGGACUCGCGGCCUAUCAGCUUGUUGGUGGGGUAGUGGCCUACCAAGGCGGCGACGGGUAGCCGGCCUGAGAGGGUGACCGGCCACAUUGGGACUGAGAUACGGCCCAGACUCCUACGGGAGGCAGCAGUGGGGAAUAUUGCACAAUGGGCGCAAGCCUGAUGCAGCAACGCCGCGGGCGGGAUGACGGCCUUCGGGUUGUAAACCGCUUUCAGCAGGGACGAAGCUUUUUGUGACGGUACCUGCAGAAGAAGCACAGGCUAACUACGUG